rnacentral:rRNA from 1 species
CAGUCGCCGCGGUAAUACGUAGGUGGCAAGCGUUGUCCGGAAUUAUUGGGCGUAAAGGGCUCGCAGGCGGUUUCUUAAGUCUGAUGUGAAAGCCCCCGGCUCAACCGGGGAGGGUAAUUGGAAACUGGGAAACUUGAGUGCAGAAGAGGAGAGUGGAAUUCCACGUGUAGCGGUGAAAUGCGUAGAGAUGUGGAGGAACACCAGUGGCGAAGGCGACUCUCUGGUCUGUAACUGACGCUGAGGAGCGAAAGCGUGGGGAGCGAACAGGAUUAGAUACCCCUUAGUCCCUGUCUCUUAUACA